rnacentral:pre_miRNA from 1 species
CCGGCCGGCGUCCUGGGCGUCGCGGGGCCGCCCCCACGUGUGGGGGUGGUGGGAUCCUGCGGUGGUUUCCCCGGCGGCCCGGUCGUG